ACCAGAUACCGACAGAAAAUCCUAACAUUGAAAGGCCAUACACAUUCAAGGAUUUUCUACUUCACCCGAGAAGUCACAAAUCCAGGGUCAAGGGUCAUCUCCGUCUGAAGAUGACCUACCUACCCAAAAACAA